rnacentral:rRNA from 1 species
CCAGUCGAACGGCAGCACAGGGGAGCUUGCUCCCCGGGUGGCGAGUGGCGGACCGUUUAGGAAUACAUCGGAAUCUACCUUGUCGUGGGGGAUAACCUCGGGAAACCGGGACUAAUACCGCAUACGUCCUACGGGAGAAAGCGGGGGACCUUUUAGGCCUCGCGCGGCAGGACGAACCGAUGUGCGAUUAGCUAGUUGGCGGGGUAAUGGCCCACCAAGGCGACGAUCGCUAGCUGGUCUGAGAGGAUGAUCAGCCACACUGGGACUGAGACACGGCCCAGACUCCUACGGGAGGCAGCAGUGGGGAAUAUUGGACAAUGGGCGCAAGCCUGAUCCAGCAAUGCCGCGUGUGUGAAGAAGGCCUUCGGGUUGUAAAGCACUUUUAUCAGGAGCGAAAUCUGCAUGCUUAAUACGUGUGCAGUCUGACGGUACCUGAGGAAUAAGCACCGGCUAACUUCGUGCCAGCAGCCGCGGUAAUACGAAGGGUGCAAGCGUUAAUCGGAAUUACUGGGCGUAAAGGGUGCGUAGGCGGUUCGUUAAGUCUGUCGUGAAAUCCCCGGGCUCAACCUGGG